UAUGAACGUAAAUUUUUUUGUUUAAAGCAAAUUUUAUUGAUUGAGACCGUGGUGUCUCUAGUGAUUAUUUAGCUGACGAAACUAUGAAUCAUUAAUUAACUAGGAUCGGAAUCAUAAUGUGAUUAUGAGAGGAAAAUCAACUAAAAUGUAAGAAUAUUUAUGAAAAUAAUUCUAUUUCAAAAUUAACUUGUAGGUUUUAUUAAUGCAUUUUUAAUUUAUUAUACUUUUUUUUACAGCGGGACCCACAAAAGUAUAUAUGUACAAUGAUCACUUUUUACCUGUAAAGGCCUAUAACGAGACUACGUAGGCAGCCGAAGCCAAAUCCCAACCGUCCAAUCAAAAACCAUCCUCGAAUCCAACGGCCAAGAUCUCUCAUCUCGCCACAAUAAUUAACCCGAAUCUCUGCAUCAAAUGCAACGAGAUCUUUUACCCUCUCUUCUUCGUUUUACCUUUUAUUAUUAUUAUUAUUAUUAUGGAUUAAUUU
rnacentral:lncRNA from 1 species